AUGUGGUGUUCACAUGAGGACUAUGAAUAUAUUGCUAAGGGUGCAUGGAAGAGGAACAAUGUUCAGAAUGAUUUGAAUGGUAUUGCAUCCACCUUACGGAGAGUUCAGAAUGAUUUGCAACACUGGAGUUAUAAUAAAUUUGGUUCAGUCCGUAAAAGUAUCAAGGUGAUUCGGGGAAAAUUGGAGGAGCUUCGUUCUGUAUCUUCCUACCGAGGACCAACAGUGGAGGAGCAUAACCUUAUCCGUCAGCUAAAUAAUAUGUUAAGCCGUGAGGAAACAAUGAUGAGGCAACGGUCUAGGGUGCAAUGGCUUCGAGAUGGAGACGGAAAUACUGCAUUUUUUCAUGCCAAAGCAAAAGAACGCAGCCGCCAAAACCAUAUUGGUUCUCUAACUAAAGAAGAUGGUUCUCUCACUACUAAUCAAUCUGAACUUAAGGCAAUUGCUGAGGAUUUCUUUGCUCAACUUUUCCAAGCUCAAGAGGAACUGAACCCAUCACUAGUCACUUGUUUUGUUCAGAAGAAAGUGACUACUGCCAUGAACUUGAUCCUGGAUGCACCAUUUACAGAGGAUGAAAUCUCAAAAGCUCUAUUUAGUAUGGGACCAAAUAAGAGCCCGGGUGUAGAUGGAUUCACGGCCGGAUUUUUUCAAAAACAUUGGGAUCUAGUCAAAGAUGACGUGGUACCAGCUGUGUUAGAUUUCUUGAAUGGUGGAGUGAUGCCCGAAGAUAUUAAUAAAAUUGUACUGGUUCUUAUUCCCAAAGUUAAACACCCGCAAUUUCUGUCACAGUAUCGCCCUAUUUCUUUAUGCAAUGUUUUAUAUAAAAUCUGCUCAAAAGUGCUCGCUAAUCGCUUGAGAAUAAUUAUUGAUGAUAUUAUUGGGGAAGAACAGAGUGCCUUCAUACCAGGAAGACUCAUAGCUGAUAAUGUUCUAACGGCAUAUGAAUGUAUUCACUACCUUAAAAGGAAGAAAGGAAAGAUCGGUGGAUGUGUUAUCAAAAUUGAUAUGGCCAAGGCCUAUGACCGCGUAGAAUGGCAAUAUCUUCAAGAAAUAAUGCUUGCGCUGGGUUUUAGUGAAGCUUGGACACAACGAAUAAUGGAAUGUGUACGUAUGGUCUCUUUUUCCGUGCGUGUGAAUGGGGAAUAUUCAAGUUUCUUCAAGCCAUCCAAAGGACUUUGA
rnacentral:rRNA from 1 species